CAUUUGAGUGAGUGGCGAACUGGUGAGUAACACGUGGGAAACCUGCCCAGAAGCGGGGGAUAACACCUGGAAACAGAUGCUAAUACCGCAUAACAACUUGGACCGCAUGGUCCGAGCUUGAAAGAUGGCUUCGGCUAUCACUUUUGGAUGGUCCCGCGGCGUAUUAGCUAGAUGGUGGGGUAACGGCUCACCAUGGCAAUGAUACGUAGCCGACCUGAGAGGGUAAUCGGCCACAUUGGGACUGAGACACGGCCCAAACUCCUACGGGAGGCAGCAGUAGGGAAUCUUCCACAAUGGACGAAAGUCUGAUGGAGCAACGCCGCGUGAGUGAAGAAGGGUUUCGGCUCGUAAAACUCUGUUGUUAAA
rnacentral:rRNA from 1 species